AUACGUAGGUGGCAAGCGUUGUCCGGAAUUAUUGGGCGUAAAGCGCGCGCAGGUGGUUCCUUAAGUCUGAUGUGAAAGCCCCCGGCUCAACCGGGGAGGGUCAUUGGAAACUGGGGAACUUGAGUGCAGAAGAGGAUAGUGGAAUUCCAAGUGUAGCGGUGAAAUGCGUAGAGAUUUGGAGGAACACCAGUGGCGAAGGCGACUGUCUGGUCUGUAACUGACACUGAGGCGCGAAAGCGUGGGGAGCAAACAGGAUGAGAUACCCUGGUAGUCCACGCCGUAAACGAUGAGUGCUAAGUGUUGGGGGGUUUCCGCCCCUCAGUGCUGCAGCUAACGCAUUAAGCACUCCGCCUGGGGAGUACGGUCGCAAGACUGAAACUCAAAUGAAUUGGCGGGG
rnacentral:rRNA from 1 species